ensembl:lncRNA
CAGACCGCAGCAGUAUUCAGGGUUGUUAUUUUUCCAGUAAAUGCUGGUUAUGGAGAAGGCUGUUUGUCCACAUUUAGUUCUACAAAGGGAUAUUCUCCCAUUGCCAUUCAGAAGGCCUUGACUGUCAUCCAAACACAAGAAAUCCUUUCAGACGUGGGAGUGGGCGGGUGACCUCACCAAGAGCUUCAUACUUGUUCCCAGACAUCUGUAUCAUCCACUAUUCUACUCAAACAGAGCCAUGGAGCGUCACCAGGCCCAUCCGGACACGUCCCGUCCCAGUCUCGCUCUCAUUGGCCCAAAGUCAAAGUGACCCAAUUUAGACAAACAAAUUUUGAAAGCUGAAG